rnacentral:rRNA from 1 species
UACGUAGGGGGCAAGCGUUGUCCGGAUUUAUUGGGCGUAAAGAGCGUGUAGGCGGUUUGGUAGGUCCGCUGUGAAAACUCGAGGCUCAACCUCGAGACGCCGGUGGAAACCAUCAGACUAGAGUCCGGAAGAGGAGAGUGGAAUUCCUGGUGUAGCGGUGAAAUGCGCAGAUAUCAGGAAGAACACCCGUGACUAAGGCGGCUCUCUAGUACGGUACUGACGCUGAGACGCGAAAGCGUGGGGAGCGAACAGG